rnacentral:rRNA from 1 species
CGGCAGCACAGCAGUAGCAAUACUGUGGGUGGCGAGUGGCGGACGGGUGAGUAAUGCAUCGGGACCUACCUAGACGUGGGGGAUAACGUAGGGAAACUUACGCUAAUACCGCAUACGUCCUACGGGAGAAAGCAGGGGACCUUCGGGCCUUGCGCGGUUAGACGGACCGAUGUUCGAUUAGCUAGUUGGUAGGGUAAUGGCCUACCAAGGCGACGAUCGAUAGCUGGUCUGAGAGGAUGAUCAGCCACACUGGAACUGAGACACGGUCCAGACUCCUACGGGAGGCAGCAGUGGGGAAUAUUGGACAAUGGGCGCAAGCCUGAUCCAGCAAUGCCGCGUGUGUGAAGAAGGCCUUCGGGUUGUAAAGCACUUUUAUCAGGAGCGAAACGCUGUCGGCUAAUACCCGGCGGAACUGACGGUACCUGAGGAAUAAGCACCGGCUAACUUCGUGCCAGCAGCCGCGGUAAUACGAAGGGUGCAAGCGUUAAUCGGAAUUACUGGGCGUAAAGCGUGCGUAGGCGGUUUGUUAAGUCUGUUGUGAAAUCCCCGGGCUCAACCUGGGAAUGGCAAUGGAUACUGGCAAGCUAGAGUGUGAUAGAGGAUGGUGGAAUUCCCGGUGUAGCGGUGAAAUGCGUAGAGAUCGGGAGGAACAUCAGUGGC